ncrna:unclassified sequences Streptococcus sRNA SpF59 (ldcC RNA)
UGACCAUCCCUCCGUCGAGGGAUCGAGGCUACACGGACGGCCGGGUCAAAUGCCGA